GCUCCUAUAGUGUAGUCCGGCCAAGCAUUUUGGCUUCUCAAGCCAGAGACUCGGGUUCAAAUCCCGAUGGGAGCACCU
rnacentral:tRNA from 1 species